AAGAUGGCAUCAUCAAUGAAUCAAAGUUCCGGCGGUUAUAGAUGGGCAUGCGUGACAUUAGCUAGUUGGUGAGGUAGAGGCUCACCAAGGCGACGAUGUCUAGGGGGUCUGAGAGGAUGAUCCCCCACACUGGUACUGAGACACGGACCAGACUCCUACGGGAGGCAGCAGUGAGGAAUAUUGCGCAAUGGAGGAAACUCUGACGCAGCCAUCCCGCGUGCAGGAUUGACGGNCCUAUGGGUUGUAAACUGCUUUUCUAUACCAAGAAACACCGAUACGUGUAUCGGUUUGCCGGUAGUAUAGGAAUAAGCAUCGGCUAACUCCGUGCCAGCAGCCGCGGUAAUACGGAGGAUGCAAGCGUUAUCCGGAAUCACUGGGUUUAAAGGGUGCGCAGGCGGAAUAGUAAGUCAGAGGUGAAAGCCCACAGCUCAACUGUGGAAUUGCCUUUGAUACUGUUAUUCUUGAGUGUAGUUGAAGUAGGCGGAAUAUAGCAUGUAGCGGUGAAAUGCCAUAGAUAUGCUAUAGAACACCAAUUGCGAAGGGCAGCUUGCUAAACUAUAACUGACGCUGAGGCACGAAAGCGUGGGGAGCGAACAGGAUUAGAUACCCCUGGUAGUCCACGCCGUAAACUAUGAACACUCGCUGUUGGCAAUACACAGUCAGCGGCUGAGCGAAAGCGUUAAGUGUUCCACCUGGGAAGUACGAUCGCAAGGUUGAACUCAAAGAAUUGACGGGGGCCCGCACAAGCGGAGGAGCAUGUGGUUUAAUUCGAUGAUACGCGAGGAACCUUACCUGGGCUUAAAUGU
rnacentral:rRNA from 1 species